ensembl:lncRNA
ACAGCCUGGAACUUCACUUGGAGUUAAUAACAACUUUUUACAAUUUCUUCUCUUUUCUGAAUAAGGAAGUUGUAAAAGACUUUUUUUUUUUUUUUUUUUUUGGGGGGGGGAGGAAGGGGAGACAGGAGGAAGAGGGGCCAGCAGGAAGGGGGAUAUAUAGCCACAGUUGUGGCAGGGAAUUUCAAUAUCUGAUGGUAGAAAUAGUGGCUGGAAUUUUUGGCACUAACAAUGACUUUUCAGACUUUUUUAGAAUUCACAAAAGUAAAGAAACUUCAAGAGUUACCUGAAGAAGUCACAAGAAGUUGCACUGUGAAUGACACGGACAAGCUAAUGGCCUAAGCAGCACUGAGACAAGUUCAGGACAUCUUGUGACACCCUACCAAAGAAGGUGAGUUGAGGCCAUGAGUAUGCAACUCUUCUGACCUUAGCUUUUGUUGCAUAGGAAUGAGGACAACGUGGUAGACCAAAGGCAGGCAAAUACGUUCCAGUAUUUCAUAAAUGCAAACACUCACAGGAUUUAUGCUAGUUGAAAUUCAGAUUAAUUUAUUUCUUAAUUAGGAUUACCCACACUUUGCUAAUACAAAAGGAAAAGAAAUCCACUGCCUGAUAUAAUAUGGCCUUAUAUGCUAUCUCAUAAAAGUCUUAAUGUAAAUCUCCAUUCAAACAGGAAAACUCAGUGGUGAAAUAUGAGACAACCUCCAGGCAUCUGGGGAACUUUCAUCCCAUCAGAUAAGCCAGCCCAGGAACCUACUUACCUCUCCCAUGAGAGAACUCGGCAUUUACUCCAGAAACAUCACUCUCUGGACCACAUGUGGCAAGGCAGAAUCUGGAGGGGAACUGCUGAAACGGAUUCCUUAAAACAAAGACUCCAGAUGGAUUUUGAAUCUCCAAAAAUGAAAUAGAACAACCCACUUUUUAGCUAGAGAAUGGCUGCACAAAACAGAAUUAGAGUUUGAAAGCAGAUCUCCCCUUCUCAUCACAACGAGUACUCAGUGUUUUCUUUUGCUGCAAUGAGUUACAUACAGGUGACAGCAACCUAUGGGAAGGGACUCAUGUAUCUCUGUAUUGGCAUGUUGUACUUUCUGAGAAGCCAUAGGGUACCUGAGGGACCAGCUCUUCAGAAGGGUGCAGGUCUCUCAUACAGUUUGUAUCAUGUCUUAGUCCUGGCUGCUCUCUGAUCUUCUCAACAGUUUUCCUGUCUGCUAAAUCUCACAUCAUGACUUCGUGCCCUCUCUGUACUCUGGGGGCACUCCUCAGAUCUGUCGGUGUCCACAGAGUCUGAACAAUGCACAGCAGAUGGUACCACAGACACAAGUCCUCCUCCCUGCUACCUACCCACACUCUUAGAGAAUGCAGUAAGCCACAAACAAACAAGUAAAACAUGUGCCAGGACUCUCAAAGGAAACAUACAGUUUGAAAGCUUCUCUUCCUGUUUCUCAGGCUAAACACCCCGGGUGUUUGUGGAAGAUGCUGAUCAUGCCCUUUCUGAAUAAUCACAUGCUAGAGGUUAAACUUUCACCAUCCCCUUUACCGUGCAUACUGCAAGACCUUUGACAAGUAAAUGGCUAAUGAAAUACUCAGAGAAUUGCUUCAUAAUAUGAAAUUUAUGUUCUACAAUGCAAUCUACAUUCAGUCAACAAACUAAGAUGCAGAACAAUAUCUGGUCUGCAGGAAACAAACAGCUUUUCCUGAUGCCAAAGGGAGCUGCUCAAUUUACCCUGGAUUUUCGGAGGGCACUGACCAUCAGACUGGAGAAUAUUUAAUAUUUGAAAGUGCAUCUUCUUCUUUUGUAUCACCACUAAAGUUAUUUGGUCUUCUCCCAGCUUUUAGAAAUUACCUCUGGUUUCUAGAACAACUUGGAUACUUCCUUCAUAUACAAAAUGUCAUUCCUGUACCUUACAAGAUACACAGUGUAUCUGCUGGUCAAAGCCAUCCUUUGGAAACACAGGCAAACACACCCCAGAAUGUCUUUUACUGAUAAAAAU